rnacentral:rRNA from 1 species
AGUUUGAUUCUGGCUCAGGAUGAACGCUAGCUACAGGCUUAACACAUGCAAGUCGAGGGGCAGCAUGGUCUUAGCUUGCUAAGGCCGAUGGCGACCGGCGCACGGGUGAGUAACACGUAUCCAACCUGCCGUCUACUCUUGGACAGCCUUCUGAAAGGAAGAUUAAUACAAGAUGGCAUCAUGAGUCCGCAUGUUCACAUGAUUAAAGGUAUUCCGGUAGACGAUGGGGAUGCGUUCCAUUAGAUAGUAGGCGGGGUAACGGCCCACCUAGUCUUCGAUGGAUAGGGGUUCUGAGAGGAAGGUCCCCCACAUUGGAACUGAGACACGGUCCAAACUCCUACGGGAGGCAGCAGUGAGGAAUAUUGGUCAAUGGGCGAGAGCCUGAACCAGCCAAGUAGCGUGAAGGAUGACUGCCCUAUGGGUUGUAAACUUCUUUUAUAAAGGAAUAAAGUCGGGUAUGGAUACCCGUUUGCAUGUACUUUAUGAAUAAGGAUCGGCUAACUCCGUGCCAGCAGCCGCGGUAAUACGGAGGAUCCGAGCGUUAUCCGGAUUUAUUGGGUUUAAAGGGAGCGUAGAUGGAUGUUUAAGUCAGUUGUGAAAGUUUGCGGCUCAACCGUAAAAUUGCAGUUGAUACUGGAUAUCUUGAGUGCAGUUGAGGCAGGCGGAAUUCGUGGUGUAGCGGUGAAAUGCUUAGAUAUCACGAAGAACUCCGAUUGCGAAGGCAGCCUGCUAAGCUGCAACUGACAUUGAGGCUCGAAAGUGUGGGUAUCAAACAGGAUUAGAUACCCUGGUAGUCCACACGGUAAACGAUGAAUACUCGCUGUUUGCGAUAUACUGCAAGCGGCCAAGCGAAAGCGUUAAGUAUUCCACCUGGGGAGUACGCCGGCAACGGUGAAACUCAAAGGAAUUGACGGGGGCCCGCACAAGCGGAGGAACAUGUGGUUUAAUUCGAUGAUACGCGAGGAACCUUACCCGGGCUUAAAUUGCAGAUGAAUUACGGUGAAAGCCGUAAGCCGCAAGGCAUCUGUGAAGGUGCUGCAUGGUUGUCGUCAGCUCGUGCCGUGAGGUGUCGGCUUAAGUGCCAUAACGAGCGCAACCCUUGUUGUCAGUUACUAACAGGUUCCGCUGAGGACUCUGACAAGACUGCCAUCGUAAGAUGUGAGGAAGGUGGGGAUGACGUCAAAUCAGCACGGCCCUUACGUCCGGGGCUACACACGUGUUACAAUGGGGGGUACAGAGGGCCGCUACCACGCGAGUGGAUGCCAAUCCCCAAAACCUCUCUCAGUUCGGACUGGAGUCUGCAACCCGACUCCACGAAGCUGGAUUCGCUAGUAAUCGCGCAUCAGCCACGGCGCGGUGAAUACGUUCCCGGGCCUUGUACACACCGCCCGUCAAGCCAUGGGAGCCGGGGGUACCUGAAGUGCGUAACCGCGAGGAGCGCCCUAGGGUAAAACUGGUGACUGGGGCUAAGUCGUAACAAGGUAGCC